rnacentral:rRNA from 1 species
ACUCCUGCGGGAGGCAGCAGUGGGGAAUUUUGGACAAUGGGCGAAAGCCUGAUCCAGCAAUGCCGCGUGAGUGAAGAAGGCCUUCGGGUUGUAAAGCUCUUUUGUCAGGGAAGAAACGGUGAAAGCUAAUAUCUUUUGCUAAUGACGGUACCUGAAGAAUAAGCACCGGCUAACUACGUGCCAGCAGCCGCGGUAAUACGUAGGGUGCAAGCGUUAAUCGGAAUUACUGGGCGUAAAGCGUGCGCAGGCGGUUUUGUAAGUCUGAUGUGAAAUCCCCGGGCUCAACCUGGGAAUUGCAUUGGAGACUGCAAGGCUAGAAUCUGGCAGAGGGGGGUAGAAUUCCACGUGUAGCAGUGAAAUGCGUAGAUAUGUGGAGGAACACCGAUGGCGAAGGCAGCCCCCUGGGUCAAGAUUGACGCUCAUGCACGAAAGCGUGGGGAGCAAACAGGAUUAGAAACCCGAGUAGUCCC